UACUAUUAUUAGGUGUGGACUUUCUGGA
rnacentral:piRNA from 1 species